rnacentral:lncRNA from 1 species
GCUGGGACUCUAAGCUAGGCCCUCCCCAGGUUCCAUCACUGCGGCGCCAACCCGCGGCUGGGCUGUCCGCAAGAGGGAGUUGAAGGCGCGCGGAAUCCCGAGGUGCAGCUGACCCUCCUCUCAACGCCGACUCUGCCGCUCCCGCCCGGCCACCUCCCUGUCGGGCAGACUUCCUGUUCUCCUGCUCACAGCAGGGAGGCAGUCGCCGAGCCGGUCAGCAGCGUGCACGGAGAUCUUCACUCUGCGCCCAGCCCCGGGACACAGGUGCAGAUCUCCAGCGGAGCACUGCGGAGUGCGCGCCGUCGAGCACUAGGGAAUCCUAGACGGAGGACUUGGUCCAUUCCACGCAGUCCCAGGCAGGUCCGCAGCGGAGGGACGCAGCGGUCUCCAACUCCUGGUCACGACUUCGGCGACCCUCCACCCCCUGAGAGACCUGGUCCCACGGAGCUGUCCCCCCAGGAGCCGCAGCGGGAAUAGCAAAGCAAAGGGGACCACUCAGCCCCCAGGAGGAGCCCUGAAGCAAAAAGGUUGCUGCGGGGAGCCACGUUCCCUCUGGUUCACCUCGAAGCCCAGGAGCUCCGGUCCCUGGACCAAGGAGUGAACAGACCUGAGGAAGAGGUGCAAGCUUAAAGUGUUGCUGCCAGACCUUUCUUCUCUUCUAAUUUACCAAGUGAAGAAUGUUGAAAUAUCCAACUAUAAUUUGUGGAUUUCUCCUUUCAAUGCUAUCAUUUUUGGUGCUUCAUGUAUUUUUGAAGCUCUAUUAUUAGUCCAGCCGAGCUGCCAUCUCUUCAAGGAAGUUUUCCCUGAAGCCCUCAGGUAGACCCGUUUUUCCAUGGCGGCCACAUCAGCAUGCAGCACAUUUAAUUGGAAGUCUCCACAUAUGAGUUGGUUUUCCUUACUUAAAAUAUGCUUAUCAUCCCUUGGAGGUCUGAUGCAUUUUUCUGUCUCUGCAGACCAGCUCCUCCCCCCUCCAAAUCUCAAUGGAAGAAUGCGACAUUCUGGAUUCAGCUACCCAAAGAGGGGUUUUUUCCCCCUCUUUGUCUCUAUUAUACAUUUUAUAGGAAGGAAUUCUGUCCCAGUUAAUUCAAACUGGGACCAGAGGAACAGGGUCCCGCUGCUCAAAAUGGCUGUCACCCGUGGGUAAGGGGAGCAGUCAGAGAGUCAUUGUGACUGGGGUGGCAGUCCCACUCCAAUCUGCCUUGUGGCUUCCUAGCCUGCAACAUACAUCCUCCCAGACAUACAAAAUGUGCCUCUGCCUGAGUCUUCCUGGCAGGGAGUUUGGUACCCCCCAACAUUGGGAGGGGAGCUUACAACACAGGACUAUCUCUUCCCAUAGAUAAUCUCCUCACAAAGCUCCACUCAGGACCACUUAUAUUCUUGAGCACUUGAAAAUAUUGGCUAUUUCCUUCUGACCCCCAUGGUUUCUUUUAAAAAAUUUGCUGUUGUUUGAAUUAUUUUUCUCUACAGGUAUUGACUGCUGCCUCAUGAAGGCUGGUCCUGUCUCUAUAGUGAAUAUUGUGCACCUCAGGGUAGAAUGGAGAGCAGAAGACUUCAAAUCAGGCAGUCUGGGUUCAGACCCCAAUUCUAGUGCUAAAUAGCUACGUGACUUUAGGCCGAUUGUGUGUGACUUCCCUGAGCCCCAGUCUCUUUGCCUGCAAAAUGAGAAAAAUUAUAACAAUGUCAUCGGUUGUUCUGAGGAUUCUGAGAGGAAUUAGUAGGAGAGAGAACUAAGAAGCUGCGGGCCUCUACAGAGCCAUUCAACUGGCAUUUCGGAAGAUGUUGCCCAUCAGAGUCAGACCUUCUUAGCAUCUUCCGGCUGGGCCCAAACUUCCCAAGACCAUUUGGACAAGGUCAUCUCUAUCCCACCAUGGCCUCCUCCCAGAGGAGGAGAAGAAUCAUGCUGUUACAGCAGAACCGAAGAUUUGGGCAAGGGAGCUAAUGAUUAUGUUCUGCGUCAGGUCAGAGAUGGGCUGGGAAAGCCACUCCAAAGCCAAGACAAGCAGUUUCCUGGAAAAAGAAGGCUGCGCGGAGCCCAGAGUGGCCUGGAUCCUGCCUCAUUUCCUGGACCAGCUCCUUAGGUGGUUACUGGAUUGCCAAUAAAGCAGAGCUUAUUAAAGUCAACGAGCUCAGGCUUCAUCGCCGCCAUGGUAUCCAAGCACCAGUCUGUCUGGGAUUUCAUUUGCCAGAUGGACAAAGGAGAGGUUGUUCCAAUACAUAUCCUGAGUGGUGGGGGUGGGGAGAGAAGGGGAAGAAUGCUCUCUAGAGAAUUCUCUUUGUCCUCUGAAGUAAAUAGAGAUCAUGUCUUCCCCAGCCACACUCAGUGAUCUGAAUCUCUUGGACUGUGGAUUUUUCCUUUACCUGCUGUGAAGCCUUGAAAAGUAUGAAUUAGCUUGAUAAUGAUCCUCUAAAGAUGUUCAAGAGUUAAAGACGUGUUUAAGUUCUUCAGGCAAUCCAAUAUGACUACGGGUUUCCAAAAAUUUGAAGGAAACUGAAAAUCAUAGUUCCCAAACCAGAUAUUUUCCGGUGUCCAGAUGUUCACUGGCAUGCAAACCAAAUGUCUGGAUUAUGAGCUCCUUUUUUCAUUUCUUUUUAUCAGCUUACAUCCAGAUGUUGGAUCCAACUGGUCAGAGGCCUGGGGCAGAGACAGAAAUCAAAUCUAGGGUGUUCAUCUAGAGUCUCCUGCUCCUCCAUUCCUGCUUCCUCCUCACGCUGCCCCCACAUCCUCCCCAACUCACCUUCAUGCUACAUCUCGGCAAAUACAGCUCAUAUCCAGGCACGGUGCAGCCCUUGACAGCUGGGUCCGCAAAGGCAGAUCGGGUAUAUCUUUAAAGAAAAGUUAUCUUAACCAUUGAGAAGCCUUCCUUCCUCAGAGGAGAGCACCUCCCCAGCAGACCUCCGAGGAGACCAAGGGCAGGACAGGAAGGGUGAAAGGAAGUUUCAGGACUGCAGGAAAUAAGAGCUUGGAGGUCAAGGGAGAGAUCAGAUAAAACAUGAAUCUGAUCAGCAUCCUAGUGGUCUAGAGUGGAGACAAUCUGCGGAGUCAACCUCAGUAAGGACACACAUAGAGAAGAACCAAAGCCUCUAAAGACGAAGCUGAGAAGUGUACGGUCGUAGAAGACUCGUGUCUGUUAUUCUUAAAAGCUCAAGGAGAUGUUCUGCCAAUUGAAUGGAAACUGUCCAUAGUGGGGAGCAGAGAGCCUCAUCUUUUCUGGAACUGAACAUCCAUCCUUAAGGCCAGAUUUCUCCCAUCACCAACUUUAACUCCUGCCCUAGCCCUCUCUCUUCCUUUUCAAAACCCUCUCCACCCAGGAAGGGAGAUUCUGGAGCCAAGACUGUACCAGCCACACCUCCCCAGAGUUGUUAAGGAAGGAACUCGAAGCCAGGGGUGGUCUUCUGGCAAGCACCCCCACUACCAGUAGCAGGACAGAUGUGUUUCUAAUGGACUACACUAUCCCCGGAGGUCACAUGAUUCAGGCUGCCAAGGGUACCUGCCCUUGGGAAAUCAACUCCCGAAGAUAAAUUGGGAUUGGGUCCUGAGAAGAUCCAUGGAAGCCCAGAGGACCCUGCCUCUCUCUGUUGCUUCAUGCUGUAGAGGCAGUACUGGGGAGGGCCUGCCCCACAUCCGGCAGGGCAGCUGGAACCAUGUGUUUGAUGACACUCUGCUCCCUCAAUGUGGAGCCUCAUCCUCAUCUCACAGUCUAGCAGGCCUCUGGUGGGUUAGGCUUGUCUCACCCAGUGUGUGAGUUUUUUUGGAAGUGACCUGAUUUUGGAGUUUCCCUCCAAGCCUUUCUCAGGUACAUGCUUUCUCUUUUAUUCUGUCUUCUUUUUUUGAUCUUCUUAAAUCUGAUUUUCUCCUUUUUCCCUCUCUUGUCUCCAUCUUUUUUCCAGUCUCUCGCUUCUCUUUAUUUCUCCCCAUAUUUCACUCUGUUCUCUCACCCCAACCUUUCCCUUCUGUUUCUCUCCCUCCCUCUCUUCCCACCCCCUGCCUGGCCUUCCAUAUAUCAAGCAGAGUUUUAUCACCUUAUGCAGGGGCAGCCCUGCCACCUGCCAUAAAGUUGAUAGGCUAAUGACAUUUUGUGGAUAUUGCCAUGUCACAAGUCCAGGACAGCAUCAAAAAUAGCCCUGAUGUCUAAACCACUUCAGCUAUCUUUUUUAUUUUUAAAAUAAAUACAUUCACAUGCUUUUAAGAAACUAUAAAAAUAUAUAAAGUAAAAAGAUCUUUCUCUCACACUGUCUCCACCUCUCCUGGUCUCACCGUUGUGCUUAGGGGAAACCAUUGUGAUUAGUUUCUCCUGUGUCCUUCCAGAGUGUCUUUAUGCAAAUGAAAAUUAUUGUGAUAAUAUAUUCCUAUUUUCCCCCUUACUACACAAAAGAUAGACUACCAUAAUCCCAUUCUGCACUUUUUUUUCACUUGAUAAUAAAAACAUGAUUU